rnacentral:rRNA from 1 species
GACGAACGCUGGCGGCGUGCCUAAUACAUGCAAGUCGAACGCAGUGGGGACGGGUGAGUAACACGUGGGUAACCUCCCAUCAGAGGGGAUAACACUUGGAAACAGGUGCUAAACCGAUACUGAUGGAUGGAAUCGCGGGGCAUUAGCUAGUUGGUGGGGUAACGGCGCACCAAGGCCACGAUGCAUAGCCGGUCUGAGAGGGUGACCAGCCACACUGGAACUGAGACACGGCCCAGACUCCUACGGGAGGCAGCAGUAGGGAAUAUUCGGCAAUGGGCGAAAGUCUGACCGAGCAACGCCGCGUGUGUGAAGAAGGUUUUCGGAUCGUAAAGCUCUGUUGUUAGAGAAGCGGUAUCUAACCAGAAAGCCACGGCUAACUACGUGCCAGCAGCCGCGGUAAUAC